rnacentral:rRNA from 1 species
UACAGAGGUGGCAAGCGUUGUUCGGAAUUACUGGGCGUAAAGGGCGCGUAGGCGGCCUACUAAGUCAGACGUGAAAUCCCCCGGCUUAACCUGGGAACUGCGUCUGAUACUGGAAGGCUUGAGGAUGUGAGAGGGAUGUAGAAUUCCAGGUGUAGCGGUGAAAUGCGUAGAUAUCUGGAGGAAUACCGGUGGCGAAGGCGGCAUCCUGGACCAUUACUGACGCUGAGGCGCGAAAGCUAGGGGAGCAAACGGG